GGGCUUGACAUCCCACGAACCUGCCCGAAAAGGUGGGGUGCCCGCAAGGGAGCGUGGAGACAGGUGGUGCAUGGCUGUCGUCAGCUCGUGUCGUGAGAUGUUGGAUUAAGUCCCGCAACGAGCGCAACCCUCACCCCUAGUUGCGACCGGGUUAUGCCGAGCACUCGAGGGGAACUGCCAGCGUCAAGCUGGAGGAAGGCGGGGAUGACGUCAAGUCAUCAUGCCCCUUACGCCCUGGGCUACACACGUGCUACAAUGGCCAGUACAAAGGGAUGCGAGACUGCGAAGUGGAGCUAAUCCCAAAAAGCUGGUCUAAGUUCAGAUUGCAGUCUGCAACUCGACUGCAUGAAGGAGGAAUCGCUAGUAAUCGCGCAUCAGCACGGCGCGGUGAAUACGUUCCCGGGCCUUGUACACACCGCCCGUCACACCACGAAAGCUGUCUGUACUCGAAGUCGCUGAG
rnacentral:rRNA from 1 species